CCUACGGGUGGCAGCAGUAGGGAAUAUUGCUCAAUGGGGGAAACCCUGAAGCAGCAACGCCGCGUGGAGGAUGAAGGUUCUCGGAUUGUAAACCCCUUUUUGUAGAGAAGUUAAUGACGGUAUCUAACGAAUUAGGUCCGGCUAACUCGCUUUCAGCAGCCGUGGGAAUACGGAGGGUGCCAGCGUUACUCGGAUUCACUGGGCGUAAAGAGCGCGUAGGCGGGAUAGCAAGUCAGAUGUGAAAUCCUAUGGCUUAACCAUAGAACUGCAUUUGAAACUGUUAUUCUAGAGUAUGGGAGAGGUAGGUGGAAUGCUUGGUGUAGGGGUAAAAUCCGUAGAGAUCAAGAAGAAUACUCAUUGCGAAGGCGACCUGCUAGAACAUAACUGACGCUGAUGCGCGAAAGCGUGGGGAGCAAACAGGAUUAGAUACCCCAGUAGUC
rnacentral:rRNA from 1 species